GGGCCUGUAGCUUAGAUGGUAGAGCGUUGCAUUCGCAUUGCAGAGGUCAUCGGUUCGAAUCCGACCAGGUCCA
rnacentral:tRNA from 1 species